CCUACGGGAGACAGCAGUGAGGAAUAUUGGUCAAUGGACGAGAGUCUGAACCAGCCAAGUAGCGUGAAGGAUGACUGCCCUAUGGGUUGUAAACUUCUUUUAUAUGGGAAUAAAACGUUCCACGUGUGGGUUUUUGUAUGUACCAUAUGAAUAAGGAUCGGCUAACGCCGUGCCAGCAGCCGCGGUAAUACGGAGGAUCCGAGCGUUAUCCGGAUUUAUUGGGGUUAAAGGGAGCGUAGGUGGUUUGUUAAGUCAGUUGUGAAAGUUUGCGGCUCAACCGUAAAAUUGCAGUUGAAACUGGCAGUCUUGAGUGCAGUAGAGGUGGGCGGAAUGCGUGGUGUAGCGGUGAAAUGCUUAGAUAUCACGAAGAACUCCGGUUGCGAAGGCAGCUCACUGGACUGCAACUGACACUGAGGCUCGAAAGUGUGGGUAUCAAACAGGAUUAGAUACCCCUGUAGUC
rnacentral:rRNA from 1 species